rnacentral:lncRNA from 1 species
GAGAAUGCGACAUCUCCAGAAGUAAACGAGGAAGAAGGAACAUUGGCAAACGAGGAAGAAGGAGCAUUGGCCGAUUUACCAGAGGCGCCGGCGGUUGUUGCGGAGGAGGAGACCGGCGGCGAGAAGGAGUUAGAAAAAUCGGAGAGUGUUGUUUUAAUAGGAGACGGUGAGGAGAGUAGUGAAACUCUAGGAUCCUCAUCGGAUAGUGAUGGAGAAGGAGAAGAAGUAGAAGAAGAAGAAGGAGAAAAAGGAGAAGAAGGAGAAGAAC